ACGACGCUGGCGGCGUGCCUAAUACAUGCAAGUCGAACGGUCUUUCUAUGGAAGCUUGCUUCCACUGAGAAGAUAGUGGCGAAACGGGUGAGUAACACGUGGGUAACCUGCCCAUAAGAGGGGGGAUAACAUCCGGAAACGGGUGCUAAUACCGCAUAGUUUCUGAUCGCAUGAUUGAGAAAGGAAAGACGGCCUUUGUGCUGUCGCUUAUGGAUGGACCCGCGGCGUAUUAGUUAGUUGGUGAGGUAACGGCUCACCAAGACGAUGAUACGUAGCCGACCUGAGAGGGUGAUCGGCCACAUUGGGACUGAGACACGGCCCAAACUCCUACGGGAGGCAGCAGUAGGGAAUCUUCCGCAAUGGACGAAAGUCUGACGGAGCAACGCCGCGUGAGUGAAGAAAAGGUUUUCGGAUCGUAAAACUCUGUUGUCAGAGAAGAACAAGUUGGAGAGUAACUGCUCCAGCCUUGACGGUAUCUGACCAGAAAGCCACGGCUAACUACGUGCCAGCCGCCGC
rnacentral:rRNA from 1 species